CACCCAGCUUGAGUGACAGAUUGAGAGUCCAUCUCAAAACAAACAAACAAACAAACAGAAAAGACAAACCAGUAGGUCUCUGAGGUAGUCUGAAGGCCUUCCUGUUACUAAAAUACAUAGGCAUUAAUACACGGGAUUUAACUGUUUUGGUGACCUGUAGGCCAUUUUUGUUUUUCCCUGUUUCUUAGCUGUUCAGGGAGUUGGAAUUAUUAAAUAAGUAAGAUAUAACUGGAUGUCACACGAUUUUUGUCCCCCUUUUAAAGAGACAGAGUACGUUGCCUGGGCUGAAGUCAGACUCCUGGGCUCAAGUGUCUGCCUUGGCCUCCUGAGUAGCUGGGACUACAGAUGUGUUCCACCUUGCCAGGAUGAUUUUGGCUCCUGAGGAUUACAAUCUAGUAUAGAAAACAAACCUCACGAUUGACUUAAAGUGCAGGAUUUUACAGGCGUAGUGUUCAUUUAGUAUUGUAUAAUGGUAUAAUACCUUCUGUGUGGAGUGCCUGUUUACCAUGUGCCAAGUGCUACACUGGUUGUACUUCAUACAGGACCUUUGCAGGUCUUCAAAGCAAUCCUAUGAGGGAAAUAUUAACAUCAUCUCAUAUAGAUAAUGCUGAACUACAGAGAGGUUAGACAACUUACUCACCUUCCUAAGAGAUUUAAACUCAGGUCUGUCAGAGUCCAAAGGCCGGAUGGUUUUUACCACAGGGGACGAGGUGGACCACAGUCAUAGAAAACAACUGUGUGUAGAGAGGAAUGAUUAAUUGAGCUGGACCUAAAAGGACAGGUGGGGUUUUGGUGUGAUGUGUUAGGUUGGGUUGGGAAGGUGAAUGAAGGAUGAAGGAGUUCUUUGGCUGGGAAGAGAGUCUGAGCAAAGUGGACCUGAAUAUCCUGCAUUGAGGAAGUGGGGUGGAGGCGAAGUGAUCACUCUGUGACCAAAGAGAAGGCUGAAAUUUGAGAGGGAGUAAGAAGUAAGGUGAGAAAAUUAUUAUUAUUAUUAUUAUUAUUAUUAUUAUUAUUAUUAUUAUUAUUGAGAAAGAGUGUCUGUCUGUCACCCAGGCUGGAGUGCAGUGUUUCGAUCUUGGCCACUGCAGUCUACGCCUCCCAGGUUCAAACGAUUCUGUUGUCUCAGCCUCCCAAGUAGCUGGGAAUACAGGUCCACUGAAUGCGGUCACAGUCAUGGCAAAUGUCAUUGUAUUCAUGUGCUUAACACAGAUGUAAUGUUUUCUAGAGGAUAUGCUAAAACUCUUGGAGGGAGUGGGGGGCGGGGGUUAUAAAUCUUUGUAUUAUUAUUUUUCUGUUAAUGUCAAAGAACAGUUCAUCCUUCUGGGUCUGUAUGUUUAAACUGAGAGUGAAUAUAAUAUGAAUUUACGGUACUUAUGUUGGAAAUUGCUACCCUCAUUUAGAAACCAUUAACCUUUAUGUUAAUAAAAUAAUGUUCUUAACUGAGCAUAUGAAAUCUGUGUUGAACAGCUGUGGUCUUUCCGGAACACUAACUUAAAAAGUGCUCAUCAUACUUUUUGAAAAUCAAAAGCGUGUGGGUGGGAUGAAGUCACCUGAGCAAUUUUCUAUAAUUACAACUUUCAAGGCCUUUUCCUUUGUUUUCCAGCUAACCUAAAAUACACAUGCAUGCAUGUGCACACUCACACAGACAGCAGCACAAACCUGUGAUUUUCUUCGUUUUCGCUAUGGACUUUUUGGCCUUGUUUUUGUCAAAUAAUUGCAGUUCCCCAGGAGGGUAUGUGUUUUCUUGUUCCUUCUCUAGUUUAUUUGAAACCUUUUAUCUCUGAGAACUUUGGAACCCCCAGAACAGGCUAGAUGUCCACCUAGACUUCCAACCUUGGAUGCCCCAUCCUAAAGCAUUUCUAGGUUCGUUGGAUCUAAACUGAUUCCCCUAGGGUAAUACUGGAAACGCCGAAAUGCCGACAUCCUAGAGAAUGACCAGGAACAUGCUCAAGUUGUUACACAACUUUUUGUAUGUGGCUGAGGUUCCUCAGUGCCAUCCGGGUCAGCCAGUACCGGAAUGUGACGGAACUGGCAUUUGUGCCCAGGAACAGCCCACGCUGGGAAUCGCUUCUGCAUUCUGAUAAUUAAGUCUGGUGUGCUGCUUAUAUUGUUCCCUGAAGGAAGGAGGGCUAGGGAAUAAUAUCAUUUCCACUUGUACCUUUUAAUUAACAGAGGAAUGGAAUGGAAAGGGUUUUAAAGAAGACUUUCAUGAGAGAGGAUUAGUACCUGACAUAGUUGGGUAUUUCCAUCAUCGUUGAACACAUUUUAAGAAUACCACUGCCAGUUUUUUCAGUGAGCUAACUGAAAAUGGCUUAUUUUAGGUGUAGAAUAAAAUUAUUGGUUUUCCAAGAGCAUGCAUUAAGAAGUGCCUUGCUAAGAAGAAGUGCCUUGCUAAGAAGUGUUAAGCAUGAAGUAGUGUAAUAUGUCUGUCUUACUAUUUUAGCGGUCACUCCUUAGUUUUCCUCUUCUCUUUCCCCUAAGUAACCAAAGCUCUUCACCUAGAAUGGAAUUUGGGGCUUACAUUUUCUUUAAUAUCAUAUAGCUCUUUCCUGUUACUGAAAGCAGAGAGAGCUUUUUCGGGGAGGUUAAAAUUAUCGUUAUCUUGUUAUCGCGUUAUUUUUUCCUUCUUAGUAAGUUAGGAGCAAUGCUUUGUCUUCCUGAAGCUGUCUGAAAAGAUACUCAUAUACAUGUGUAUAGUGCCUUGGGUAACAGAAAUUAGGUUUUAUGUCAUUUGUUUCAGAAGAUACACUAAUACAUCAAAAGCAAGUGACAGGGAAAACAGAAUGCAGUUAGUAAUCUUGUUGCCUCAAAACUGAGCAAAUGUUUUGGGAGAGCAAGUUCUUGCUGGACAUCACUGAAUAAGAAUGAGUUGAUGUCACACUUGGCAAGAAGCAACUCUUUAAAUUUUUUUUUUUUUUCCAUA